UAUUAGUAAUCUUUGGCAGAACUUCUCUCCAGUCAACAAGUGAAACGUUGGCAGUAGCUGUUAAAGGAGAGACGAGGACACAUCAGCCUUCACGAGGAAUUUAAGAUUCUUUGUGCGCCAAGAGACACCAUCGGAUCUACUCAACGGGUCAUCUAAAAUGCAGCAUUUAGCAACCUCCAGCCCAUUGUCAUCAACGAUGAAGAAUUCAUUUCUGUGCAGCCCCUCGUUCAAUGAAUCGACGUUGAGGACGCCCCCAUUCGGUGAUUCAACGUGCAGACCGCACUCACAUUGCGUUCCCAGGAGGUUACCCAUCAAGGUCUUACCACGGACCUCAACCUGUGGUUCGACGUGGAGAUCGCCCUCGUUCAGCGAUUCGACGUGGGGACAGCACGCACAGUGCGUCCCCAGACGGCUACCCAUCACAGUACAGGCGGCGCCACAGACCUCGCUACAACAGAUGCAGAAUCCUUGCAACCAAUCCCAGGCAGUGGGAUGCUACGCUCCUCAGGGCUUUCAGUACCAGAUGACACAGCACACAGUUACGACGACGACUACAACAACAGAGUUCCGGAUGAUCUCUGGGGUCCAGUCAUCACAGAUAUGUCCACAUCAGUGGAUGUGACUUCUGCAGCAGUUAAAAAUUUCUACAGCAUUGGCAACACCACAGGCCCUGCAGCUCUACGUGUGGGCAGCGCUCUGCAGUGUGGGGGUCGUAAUUCUCUUGGCGUAGUCGAGCUGCAACUACUUGGACAUCUAUCAACGCCAAGGAACUAGAUGGGUUUCCCAACAGCUUCCUAGCACAUCUACCCAAUAUAGAGCAUUAGCAAUAUAGAGCAUAAGCAAAAUUAAAUUCUAAAUGAUUUCAUAUAAUUUGAUAACUUUCUCGUAUUGAUAGUAAAGAUGCACCAAACGUAAGUGGAAAAUGUUUAACGAUUGUUAUAAUUUUGAUAAAUUGCCAGGAAA